UAGCUUUUGACUUGGACAUAGAAGUUACCAAAUGUUUUGGUGAGUGUGGGAAGAAGAGGCAAUAUGAAUUACCAGUACUAUGAUCAUUCCAAGGCUUUGCGUAACCAAUAUAAGGUGGAUCAACCAAACAGUCAUAUGGAACCUGAAUACUAUUUCCAGGAGCCUUCAAACCAAGGCCGAAGGAAUCACUAAAUCGCACAGAGAAUUUG
rnacentral:misc_RNA from 1 species